UGUAGCACGUCACACGUUUUAUUUUUAGAGAAACUCUACCAAGAAAUUACUUACGAAGAUUGGGUGUCCACUCAGGUAUUUAAAUGCUCCCGUAACACUGUAAAUUCAUCAUUCAAGCAAUCUUCCUCAAUUCAAUCUUAAAAAUCUACAUUUUUUGUAAUACCGGGAUUAAAAAGUAGAAACAUGAUGCUGACUGCUGCAAAACUUAUGUUGGGGGUUGUCGUCUUCUCCAUUUUGGCCAAAAACAGUGCGUCGUUCCCAACGGAGGACGGCCCCGAUUUUGCGGAAGAGGAAACAGCCCCAGGAAAUCGGACGAGACGACGUGCGGAUUACGGGAGCAUUGACAACUAGCAGUACGCGUACGGGUGUCAGGACUACGGGUGUCACAAGGGUCGGUGCUGGGCGUGGUGCGGGAUUCGACCUGACGACCACAAGCAGUGGUGCUGGACGACGCGGGGAAACAUGUGGGACUUGCAGUAUGUCGGCUGCUCUUCCCACAAUGAUUGUGACGGAUGCUGGCAUUUGCAGGAACCUGCUCCUUGUAAAGAGAAUUCUCGAACGGAGGAAUAUUUGGGGGCUUAGCAAGUAAUUCAAAUUUGUAUGUAUUCCUCAUACUAUACUUACAAUAUCAUUCCAAUUUGCGGCACAAUUUACGAUGUAUAUGUAUAUAAUCCAAGUAAAGAUACUAGCAUGAGUUUGUAAUAAAUAAAUCGUCGUCUUCGUAUUUAAAUUGCAGCUA